UACGGAGGGGGCAAGCGUUGUUCGGAAUUACUGGGCGUAAAGGGCGCGCAGGCGGCUGCUCAAGUCAGGCGUGAAAGGCCUGGGCUCAACCCGGGAAUUGCGCUUGAGACUGGGCUGGCUGAGUGCGGGAGAGGGAUGGUGGAAUUCCCAGUGGUAGAGGUGAAAUUCGUAGAUAUUGGGAAGAACACCGGUGGCGAAGGCGGC
rnacentral:rRNA from 1 species